GGGAGCUCUUCCGAGACGCACUGGGGGCCGGAUGAUUGUUGAUCCAUUUCAGAUACUUGUGGCAGCAAACAAAGCAGUUCACCUCUACAAACUGGGAAAAAUGAAGACAAGAACUCUAUCUACUGAAAUUAUUUUCAACCUUUCCCCAAAUAACAAUAUUUCAGAGGCUUUGAAAAAAUUUGGUAUCUCAGCAAAUGACACUUCAAUUCUAAUUGUUUACAUUGAAGAGGGAGAAAAACAAAUAAAUCAAGAAUACCUAAUAUCUCAAGUAGAAGGUCAUCAGGUUUCUCUGAAAAAUCUUCCUGAAAUAAUGAAUAUUACAGAAGUCAAAAAGAGAUGUGGUCUCACUAUGUUGCCCAGAUUGGUCUCAAAAUCCUGGACUCAAGUGAUGCUUCUGCUGCGCCUCCCAAAGCGCUGGAAUUACAGGCAUGAGCCACUGAGCCCAGCUGGUUAUUGUUUCUGUUUUUAAAUUUUUUGCCUUGGUGAUUUUAUAUCCUCAGUUCACCUCCCUCUCCAUACUUACCAUGGCUACUCCA
rnacentral:lncRNA from 1 species